rnacentral:rRNA from 1 species
AGUGAACGCUGGCGGUAGGCCUAACACAUGCAAGUCGAACGGCAGCACAGUAAGAGCUUGCGCUGACGGGUGGCGAGUGGCGGACGGAUGAGGAAUACAUCGGAAUCUACUUUUUCGGGGGGGAUAACGUAGGGAAACUUACGCUAAUACCGCAUACGACCUACGGGUGAAAGCAGGGGAUCUUCGGACCUUGCGCGAUUGAAUGAGCCGAUGUCGGAUUAGCUAGUUGGAGGGGUAAAGGCCCACCAAGGCGACGAUCCGUAGCUGGUCUGAGAGGAUGAUCGGCCACCCUGGAACUGAGCCACGGUCCAGACUCCUACGGGAGGCAGCAGUGGGGAAUAUUGGACAAUGGGCGCAAGCCUGAUACAGUGAUACCGCGUCGGUGAAGGAGGCCUUCGGGUUGUAAAGCCGUUUUGUUGGGAAAGAAAAGCAGCAGGUUAAUACCCAGCUGUUGUGACGGUACCCAAAGAAUAAGCACCGGCUAACUUCGUG